CAGAGCAUAGCUUAAUAGAAGAGCACCUCCCUUACACCGAGAAGACAUUCGUGCAACUCGAAUUGCCCUGA
rnacentral:tRNA from 1 species